GACGAACGCUGGCGGCGUGCUUAACACAUGCAAGUCGAACGGAAAGGCCCUGCUUUUGUGGGGUGCUCGUUUGGCGAACGGGUGAGUAACACGUGUGUAACCUGCCCUUGUCUUUGGGAUAACUUCAGGAAACUGGGGCUAAUACCGGAUAGGAGCUCCUGCUGCAUGGUGGGCGUUGGAAAGUUUCGGCGGUUGGGGAUGGACUCGAGGCUUAUCAGCUUCUUGGUCGGGUAGUGGCUUACCAAGGCUUUGACGGGUAGCCGGCCUGAGAGGGUGACCGGCCACAUUGGGACUGAGAUACGGCCCAGACUGGUACGGGAGGCAGCAGGGGGAAAUAUUGCACAAUGAGCGGAAGGCUGAUGCAGAAACGCUGCGUGCGGGAUAACGGCCUUCUGGUUGAAAACCGCUUUCGCAUGUGACGAAGCGUGAGUGACGGUAAUGGGUAAAGAAGGACCGGCUAACUACGUG
rnacentral:rRNA from 1 species